rnacentral:lncRNA from 1 species
CUAAAAAUGCCGAGGUUUGGAGCGUGGAGGGGGAAUGUGAGGAGGCAGCGGGUUUUGGUGGAGCCCUGGACGCACCAAGCAGAGGGAGGGAGUGCUGUGAGCAGUUCCUCUCCACACAGAUCUCCAUGCAGAGGCUUCCCCAGUGGCACGAAUUCCCCUCUGUGGGCCAGAUGUGCUUCUCUCCUCGCAGGAGAUGAGUGUUUCCAUGGCUGAGCCGUCCUGCUGACAGCACUGAGAUUUCUGGAGUCACUGCUCCCUCCCAGGUGUGAAGUGGAUUGCUCUCUGGCCUGGGGCAGAUAAGCAGCCACAGCACUUCAUUGCUGCUUCUCCCAGCAUUGGAAAUCUUUUAAUUAGGAGUGAAAUAAACUGUCCACAUUGUUCCUUUCUUU